rnacentral:lncRNA from 1 species
UUAUUGUUGCACAAAUGACAACUAAUCCUUCAAGAAGCAAACAUAAAAAAAAAAAUAUUUUCUACAAAAUCUACUGUCAUUACUUCUCUCCAUUUAGUAUAAGUGAACUCUACCCUUACUCAGAUGCGUUUUCCAAAUGCAUCAGAUAGGUAUGUCUAACUUCAUAAAACGUUUUCCAAUCGUAGCAAAUUUGACUACUGCAAGAAUCGUCCUAUGCUUCGGGCCUUGCCGAAAGUAAGAAUAGUUUUUCUUCUUUUAUCGUCCAUGAAUUCGAAAUAUGUCAAAUUCAUUGCGGCUCGUACUUGCCAUGAUUACCUCAGCUUGAACAAAGAAUAUUUUGAUCAGCGCACAUAAGGGAACGUCGUCUUCCUUACUCAGAUGCGUUUUCCAAAUGCAUCAGAUAGGUAUGUCUAACUUCAUAAAACGUUUUCCAAUCGUAGCAAAUUUGACUACUGCAAGAAUCGUCCUAUGCUUCGGGCCUUGCCGAAAGUAAGAAUAGUUUUUCUUCUUUUAUCGUCCAUGAAUUCGAAAUAUGUCAAAUUCAUUGCGGCUCGUACUUGCCAUGAUUACCUCAGCUUGAACAAAGAAUAUUUUGAUCAGCGCACUGCUUUGAAUAUCCCAUAUGCUGCAACUUCAGAAACAUGGUGAUUUGGCAUCUAAGGAUUUACAUUGCAAUCACUCAAGAACUGAUUUUGUAGGUUCAGAAACUUCCUCCAAGAACUUUUGUAUUUA